CCCUUAGAUGUUCUGGGCUGCACGCGCGCUACACUGAUGCACUCAACGAGUUUACGAGCUUGUCCGAGAGGAUUGGCUAAUCUUUUUAAAAUGCAUCGUGAUGGGGAUAGAUUAUUGCAAUUAUUAAUCUUCAACGAGGAAUUCCUAGUAAGCACGAGUCAUCAGCUCGUGCUGAUUACGUCCCUGCCCUUUGUACACACCGCCCGUCGCUCCUACCGAUUGAGUGCUCAGGUGAAUAAUUCGGACUGCAGCAGUGUUUGGAUCCCGAACGCUGCAGCGGAAAGUUUAGUGAACCUUNUNACUUAUNGGAAGGAGAANUCGUANCA
rnacentral:rRNA from 1 species